AAAAAAGGAAGUUCAGAAAGACAAGCCCUGUGAACCCAAGUCCCAAAAAAUAGAAGGAAAGUCAUGGUCAGGUGAAUUUUUUACUUGUAACUGGAAAAUGAAGUAUGUCACAUUUGAAGAUGAGGAACAGGCAAACUUAAUCUAUGGUAACUCCAGGUUCACAGAUUUACACUCAAUUAUCAGAAAUAUUCAGUCUUGCAAGGAGGUAAAAGGCAGAACUGCCUUCAAUGGAGUUUCAUUCAAUCUGCUCCAGUUUGUGCAACUCCUGGAGACAUUUGUUGGUGAAGACGCUCCCUUGAGUGUCAGCGAGACUCUCACCUCCUUUUUUAAGGAGGGCUAUGUUGAAACAGAACAAGAGAAAAUGAAUGCCUUAGAACAGUUUAGCCAAAAUGCUUUCCAAGUCCGACAGAGGCUUCUCCUAGAAGCCAUCUUUCAGAAGUGGGACAGUGAUGGCUCAGGCUUCCUGGAUCUGAAGGAAGUUGAUGAACUCUUGUACACAUACAAGGAGGGAAUGGAAAAAGAAUCUAUGAAGAAAGGUAAAAUAUAAGAAUGUUCUUAUUUAAAUUGUGGUAAUUAACUUGGCUUCAACUUUCUCAGUACACAUAUACAGUGAAAAUACUGGUUAUGCUAAAACCACUAGAUAACCUUCAUGUCUACCAGUAUAGAUAUACAUUUAUCUUAUUUAUUUUUAAUUUCUAAAAAUAGAGAUAGGAGUCU
rnacentral:sRNA from 1 species